rnacentral:rRNA from 1 species
AACGAACGCUGGCGGCAUGCCUAACACAUGCAAGUCGAACGAGACCUUCGGGUCUAGUGGCGCCCGGGUGCGUAACGCGUGGGAACCUGCCCUUAGGUUCGGCAUAACUCCCCGAAAGGGGUGCUAAUACCGGAUAAUUUCUUCGGACCAAAGAUUUAUCGCCUUUGGAUGGGCCCGCGUUGGAUUAGCUAGUUGGUAGGGUAAAAGCCUACCAAGGCGACGAUCCAUAGCUGGUCUGAGAGGAUGAACAGCCACACUGGGACUGAGACACGACCCAGACUCGUGCGGGAGGCAGCAGAGGGGAAUAAUGGAGAGGGGGCGAAAGCCUGAUACAGCAAUGCCGGGUGAGUGAUGAAGGGGUUAGGAUUGUAAAGCUCUUUUAGCCGGGAUGAUAAUGACAGUACCGGGAGAAUAAGCUCCGGCUAACUCCGUG